GGAAGUGUAACUCAGUGGCAGAGCAUGUGCUUUACAUUCAGAGAGUCUCAGGUUCAAUCUCUGGUAUCUCCA